rnacentral:rRNA from 1 species
GGCAGCACGAUGUAGCAAUACAUUGGUGGCGACCGGCGCACGGGUGAGUAACGCGUAUGCAACCUACCUAUCAGAGGGGAAUAACCCGGCGAAAGUCGGACUAAUACCGCAUAAAACAGGGGUUCCACAUGGAAAUAUUUGUUAAAGAAUUAUCGCUGAUAGAUGGGCAUGCGUUCCAUUAGAUAGUUGGUGAGGUAACGGCUCACCAAGUCCACGAUGGAUAGGGGUUCUGAGAGGAAGGUCCCCCACACUGGUACUGAGACACGGACCAGACUCCUACGGGAGGCAGCAGUGAGGAAUAUUGGUCAAUGGGCGAGAGCCUGAACCAGCCAAGUCGCGUGAAGGAUGAAGGAUCUAUGGUUUGUAAACUUCUUUUAUAUGGGAAUAAAGUGAGGAACGUGUUCCUUUUUGUAUGUACCAUAUGAAUAAGCAUCGGCUAACUCCGUGCCAGCAGCCGCGGUAAUACGGAGGAUGCGAGCGUUAUCCGGAUUUAUUGGGUUUAAAGGGUGCGUAGGUGGUUAAUUAAGUCAGCGGUGAAAGUUUGUGGCUCAACCAUAAAAUUGCCGUUGAAACUGGUUGACUUGAGUAUAUUUGAGGUAGGCGGAAUGCGUGGUGUAGCGGUGAAAUGCAUAGAUAUCACGCAGAACUCCGAUUGCGAAGGCAGCUUACUAAACUAUAACUGACACUGAAGCACGAAAGCGUGGGGAUCAAACAGGAUUAGAUACCCUGGUAGUCCACGCAGUAAACGAUGAUUACUAGCUGUUUGCGAUACACAGUAAGCGGCA